CUUGGUUGAAAAUCACCCAAGACUUUACCUGUGGUCAUGGGUAAGAUUUAGUGCUCAAAGCCUAUGGGGCCUCAGCUAGGGAAAACCAGGUGGAACCAUUGUUGUAGCAAUGCCCCAAAGGAG